rnacentral:rRNA from 1 species
CCCUUAGAUGUUCUGGGCAGCACGCGCGCUACAAUGGUCUUCGCAAACGGAUGCAUUCUCGAAGGAGAAUGCCAAUCUUGGAAUCUAUGCCUUGGUCGGGACAGUUGCUUGCAAUUUUUCGACUCGGACUAGGAAUUCCUUGUAAUCGUGAUUCAUCACAUCACGAUGAAUACGUCCCUGCCCUUUGUACACACCGCCCGUCGCUCCUACCGAUCGAAGAGUUAGGUGAAUUGUUUUGAUCGAUAAGAUUUGACUAUGGUCAACUCUCGUUGUGAAAUUCUGUGAAUCUGACUGUUUAGAGGAAGGAAAAGUCGUAACA